rnacentral:rRNA from 1 species
UUUACUUUGAACAAAUCAGAGUGCUCCACACAGGCGUCUCGCCUGAAUGUUCGUGCAUGGAAUAAUAGAAGAGGAUUUCGGUUCUAUUUUAUUGGUUUUAUAGACUGAGGUAAUGGUUAAUAGAGACAAACGGGGGCAUUCGUACCGCUGCGUGAGAGGUGAAAUUCUUGGACCGCAGCGAGACGCACGACAGCGAAAGCAUUUGCCAAGCAUGUCUUCAUUAAUCAAGAACGAAAGUCAGAGGUUCGAAGGCGAUCAGAUACCGCCCUAGUUCUGACCGUAAACGAUGCCAACUAGCGAUCCGCCGGCGGAUCAUUCGCCCUGGUGGGGAGCUUCCCGGAAACGAAAGUCUUCCGGUUCCGGGGGAAGUAUGGUUGCAAAGCUGAAACUUAAAGGAAUUGACGGAAGGGCACCACCAGGAGUGGAGCCUGCGGCUUAAUUUGACUCAACACGGGGAAACUCACCCGGCCCGGACACCGCGAGGAUUGACAGAUUGACAGCUCUUUCAUGAUUCGGUGGAUGGUGGUGCAUGGCCGUUCUUAGUUCGUGGAGCGAUUUGUCUGGUUUAUUCCGAUAACGAGCGAGACUCUAGCCUGCUAAAUAGUCCAGUCAUCUCGCAACAGUGACUGCCGACUUCUUAGAGGGAUCAUCGGCGUUCAGCCGCACGAGAUUGAGCAAUAACAGGUCUGUGAUGCCCUUAGAUGUCCGGGGCUGCACGCGCGCUACACUGGCGAAGGCAGCGUGCCUGUCCUCUCCCGAAAGGGAUGGGUAAACC